CGCGGGAAAAACGAGACUCCGCGCAGCUUCCUGCUAGUUUGUCAACCGCCAUUGUCGGCCGCGGCAAUUCUUAACAAGCGGCCGGACACAACAGACACAAUGCUCGGCGAUGGAAGCGCACUCGUGGACACCGUCAGCUCGAACAAACCGGCCGCUGAAUCGACCAAACUGUUCGCUCCGAUUUCUUAGUUAUCUUUGUGAAUCGUUCAAGUUUUAUCAGCGAUCAACGUAUUUACAGAGCAACGUUUUGACAGCGACAACGCUGAGGUUAGCUCGGUCUUUCGCGCGGGAAACGUUAAUAAGAGGUCCGAACAAGUGUCGCUCGGAGCCACAGACAAGAAGUCACCCCGUACAGAAUAUGCAGAAAAGCGCAGGCCGAUGCAUAGUGCAGAAGGUAACAGCGGACGACACCGGUGACAUGGCAGCUCAGUUGGCCACGUCGAUACUCGUUAACUGUAACACUACGCGUCCCGGCCUCUUACGCCCGGCUUCCUGUGAGCGCGCACGAGCGCGCGCGGAUAGAGAGACAGACGUGCUCGGUUUAUCCGUGGAUAUCCGCGAUAUGAACGCGGGCGCGCGCGCGCACGCACACACGGAGAGCCGCGACCAUAUCGAGAGCGGCCGCGCAAGAGAGGCGCUCGGCUAUUAUUCGCGUGCGCGCACGUGCUGCACCGGCUCGGCUCGGCUCGGCUCGGCGGCGCAGCAAUCCCAGUUGCGUGUGCAGCAGCGGGACACAGGCGUCGCCGCGCGGACGCGGACGUGCUUUACAUUCGUGAGACCCGUCAUCCUCCUUGUCCUUGGCACGACGCCUUCUUCUCGGCCGGCAGAUCGGAUCGCUAGAAUUUAAAUCAGCCCGAUACUUUAGAUCUGGAUCAUCUCCGGCCAGCUCUCGGAACUGUCCGCAACUGGACGACUCUGUUCGCCGACCAGGCUGCGGGCUCUGUUCGAUAAAGAAGAUCUGUCAUUUUUUUCUUUAUCCGUGGCGCUUUGUUCAUGGUGAUGACGGGUUUCGAUGUUGCCGAAGUGGCGGCAGGACUGACAUAACCCUGACCGUAAGGAUAGCGACUGCUACUGGUGCUGCCACCUGUUUGUUAAUGCUAGGUUCACGGGACUCGUCAGAAUGACAGGUCACUCAUUUUUUCAUUUUCGAUUACUUGUGGGAAAUAUUACAAUAAAUGAUAUUACGACAUCCGUCUUAUGUAAUAUCCAAUGUCUAUA